UACGGGGGGGGCAAGCGUUGUUCGGAAUUACUGGGCGUAAAGGGCUCGUAGGCGGCCAACUAAGUCGGAUGUGAAAUCCCCAGGCUCAACCUGGGAACUGCAUCCGAUACUGGAUGGCUUGAAUUCGGGAGAGGGGUGCAGAAUUCCAGGUGUAGCGGUGAAAUGCGUAGAUAUCUGGAGGAAUACCGGUGGCGAAGGCGGCAUCCUGGACCGACAUUGACGCUGAGGAGCGAAAGCCAGGGGAGCAAACGGG
rnacentral:rRNA from 1 species